rnacentral:rRNA from 1 species
UAGUACGGCGAGUGAAGAGGGAAGAGCCCAAGAUUGAAAGCUGGCGUCUUCGGCGUCCGCAUUGUAAUCUCAAGAAGUGUUUUCCGCUUCGGACCAAGCCUAAGUCCCUUGGAAAAGGGCAUCAUAGAGGGUGAUAAUCCCGUACAUGGCUUGGAGCGCCCGAAGCUUUGUGAUACGCUUUCUAAGAGUCGAGUUGUUUGGGAAUGCAGCUCAAAAUGGGUGGUAAAUGCCAUCUAAGGCUAAAUAUUGGGGAGAGACCGAUAGCGAACAAGUACAGUGAUGGAAAGAUGAAAAGAACUUUGAAAAGAGAGUUAAACAGUACGUGAAAUUGCCAAAAGGGAAGGGUAGGAGGUCAGAGAUGCGGCCUGGGAUUCAGCCUUGCUUUUGCUUGGUGUUUUUCCCAGAUUGCAGGCCAACGUCGGUUUUGGGCACUGGAGAAGGGUAGGAGGAACGUGGCACCUCUCGGGGUGUGUUAUAGCCUCCUACUGGAUACAGCGACCGAGACCGAGGACAGCAGCGUACUCGCAAGAGCGGGCCUUCGGGCACCUUUACUCUUAGGGCGUUGGCAUAAUGGCCCUCUACCACCCGUCUUGA